AUGUCUCUCAAAAGGCCCAGCAACGACAAAACCCCCGCGCCCCAAAUGAAGCUCGAGGCGGUCCAACUAAAGCAGGAGUCUUGGUCUGAUGAGGAGUCCGAGCAGGCCUCGGCGGCGGACGAGCGCUCCUCGCACUGCGAAGAGGAGCCCAUCAUCGAGGAGAGGAUAGUGUCGUUUUUUGAAGACAGGCCCCAUUUCUACGACCUGACGCACGCGUCCUACAAGAACAAGCAGCGGAGGAAUUUCGAGCUGGCGGAGUUCGCGUGCGUCCUGGGCCAUGGCUGGACCCCCGAGAAGCUGUGGAAGAGGUUCGUCAGCCUGAGGACGGACUACGGCAAGCUCCUCAAAAUGAUCCGCCAGAGCAAGUCCGGCUCCGGGGUGAAGAAGCUAACGCCGAAGCAGCAGUGGAAGUUACGGCGCAUGCAGUUCCUCGAGCCUCACCGGAAGAACUCUGGAGUCUGCGGGGAGGAAGAGCUGGGAAACGUGCCCGCUGCUCCGGCUGGAGAGACCAGCGAGGCGGAGGAGGGAUCUGACGCCGACGACAGCCUGAACAAAGACGACGGCGUUCGAGGCAGGAAGUCCCAGCCCCAGAAGAUAGACGGCAGCGCCAUUGCCACGGUCCUGAACGAAUUCUUGCAGGCCGAGAGGGGGCGCGAGGAGGAGAUCCGGGACAGAGCGAGAUUGGUGGACGAGCGCACGACCUGGUCGUCGUGGUUUGCCUCGGCCUGUGCUAACGUGCCGGUCGAACGGUUUCGAGAGUUCCAGGGGGAGACGUUCUCCCUCCUGAUGCGCUACCUGAACCCCCCCACCGUGCCUGUCGCUCCCCCACAGCAGUACCAGCCCCUGCAGCAGCAGCAGCAGCAGCAGCAGUACCAGAGAGCGUACGUUCAGCAGCCAGACUCCUCGUACAAUAUUACUGUGGUGGGCGAGCCGGCCCAUUCCAGGCCCACUUCUUCCUCUCUGCUUUCAGGCAUUCGACAGCAUCAACAUUCUAACCUGCAGGAACAGCAGCUGGAUCACGGUCCCGGAUCGUCUUACAUUAGUCCCUAUAGCAUGGCAGGUCUGGGCUCAAACAUCAAACGGGAAUAAAGUUCAGCCGCAAACCAGUGUUGUGGGAGAGUUUUUUAAUAUUUUUUAUAUAGAGCUUGUGAAUAUAAACUGUUCUGUUUGUGGAAUAUCGUUAAGUGAUUAAUUGAUGUUUUAUCUUAUGGUUUCCUGCACUGAGCCACAUUUUGAUGUAUAUUGUAAAGUCUGUUUAUUUCUUCUGCAUGAUUAACACUUUCCCCGAUGUGCGUAAAGUGUUUAAUUUAAACCUUUGUUCAUGCGAUAAUUGAUUGGUUGAUUAUUAAGUUAUUUGUUUCUUAGUAUAGCACAGGAGUCCGCAACCUUUGGUGCUGAAAAAGUCUUUUCGUCCAGUUUUUUACCAAGCAAGAAAUGAGAAGUCAUUGUUUAGAAAAAUACCUUUUAUGUUUUUUUUAGCCAUUUAUUUAUAUAAAGGAUAUUUUAAAUAAUUAUAAUAAUGGGAUUAAUAUAAUUUCUUCUUGUUUUACAUUUAAAUAAAAUCUAUCUUGUGCAAAAUAAGCUUCUGCUGCAGCAGAUAUAUAUAAAAACUGAAAAAGAAAGUCAAAUCAAACAUUGAAUUUUUCAUUUUAAGGAAUUUAAUGCGCUUGAUCCUUUUUCUCCUUUUUAAUAUCAAAUAUAAACAUGACAACACUGGUGUAGAAUCUCAUUUUUUAAAUAAAUCUAUAUUUUUAUUCUAAUAAUAAACCAGUCUUACAUUUAUUUUAAUAAUUAUCUGACAUGUUAGAAUUCAAAAUAUAAACGACAAAACCUGAUUAAUUACUAGAAAUGAACCUUAAAUGUUGAAAUCGUUAGCAUUUUUAUUUAAAGCCAAAGAGCCACAGGUUGCAGACCCCUGGUAUAACGUAUCAAUAUUAUUAUAUAUUUAUAUUUUUUUGACCACACAAACACAUUGUCAAGUCCUUCAGCUUCGCCAUUAAAAGUUUGUUUGGAACCGGACCCUCUGUGCCUUUCCCUCUGACCAGUGUUGUUCAAACUCUGUCAUCCUGACUGAUGAAAAGAUGAACAGGGUUGGUUAAUGGUUAAAGUCAGAGGCUGGAAGCAGCUUUGUGUUCUUGUGUUUCCAUGAAGAUGAGCUUGAAAGAGUCACCAGCCACAGGCUCCGCCCCUCCAGCCCGGAGCCGGCUGAGCUGUCAUGAGGAUCACAGCUCAUCACUGCUCACUUUAGUAAUGUCCCUCCCUGGGGUUUAAGUCUGUGCUUUACUAUGAAGGAUCUGAAGACUGAUAUGUUUUCUUCUUCUUUUCUUUUUGCAACGCAGCGGGAGAUUUUUGCAGCUGGAAGCAACAUCAGUUUGAUUUUUUACUCCUUUUUUAUUAUUCAUAUUUUUCUCAGAGUUUAGGAGAGAAAGCCCCAGCCACGACUUUGGAAUUACUCAGAAGUUUCUGGAGGACCCACGGACUAUUUUAACAAUGUAAGAGUUAAGUUUUUGCUCAGUACACCCAAUUAUGAGGAUGCUGGGAUUGAUUUUAUGACAAAACAUUGAGAGAAAAAAGUAGAGGAAGUAAAA
ensembl:lncRNA